rnacentral:rRNA from 1 species
AACGAACGCUGGCGGCAGGCUUAACACAUGCAAGUCGAACGCAUCGCAAGAUGAGUGGCAGACGGGUGAGUAACGCGUGGGAACAUACCCUUUUCUACGGAAUAGCUCUGGGAAACUGGAAUUAAUACCGUAUACGCCCUACGGGGGAAAGAUUUAUCGGGGAAGGAUUGGCCCGCGUUGGAUUAGCUAGUUGGUGGGGUAAAGGCCUACCAAGGCGACGAUCCAUAGCUGGUCUGAGAGGAUGAUCAGCCACAUUGGGACUGAGACACAGCCCAAACUCCUACGGGAGGCAGCAGUGGGGAAUAUUGGACAAUGGGCGAAAGCCUGACGCAGCCAUGCCGCGUGGAUGAUGAAGGUCUUAGGAUUGUAAAAUCCUUUCACCGGUGAAGAUAAUGACUGUAGCCGGAGAAGAAGCCCCGGCUAACUUCGUGCCAGCCGCCGCGGUAAUAC